rnacentral:tRNA from 1 species
ACUACUGUGGUGAAAUGGUAAACACAUUAGAUUUAAAAUCUAACAGUAUUAACUUUAUGAGUUCAAGUCUCAUCUGUAGUA